rnacentral:rRNA from 1 species
CCCCUAGAUGUUCUGGGCCGCACGCGCGCUACACUGAACAGUUCAACAAGUCUUAACCUUGGCCGAUAGGUCUGGGUAAUCUUUGAACGCUGUUCGUGAUUGGGAUAGACCUUUGCAAUUAUGGGUCUUCAACGAGGAAUUCCUAGUAAACGCAAGUCAUCACCUUGCAUUGAUUACGUCCCUGCCCUUUGUACACACCGCCCGUCGCACCUACCGAUUGAAUGGUCCGGUGAAAUCUCGGGACGGCGGCUUGGUCGCUUGCGUCCGACUGCUGAAACUUGAUUAAACCAUAUCAUUUAGAGGAAGGUGAAGUCGUAACA